rnacentral:lncRNA from 1 species
UUUUUUUUUUUUUUUUUGUCUUUUUUCUCCAGCUGGUCGUCGAGGUCCGGCGACUGGCUAGAGGCGACAGCCGGCGAGGGCGAGGCUGACCUCGCUGGCCACCUUGCCAAAUCUGGCGAGGCAAGCCUCGCCCAUGCUCGGCGAGGGCCGACGAGGCUCGAUCUCACCAGAUCCGGCCAUGGGCGAGGCUCGCCCUCGUUGGAUGAGUUGAAUCUGGCAAGGCGAGAAUCGCCCAUGGUCGGCGAGGCUCGACCCUCGCCCGUGAGGUGGCCGGCGAGGGUGGUCGCCGGACCUCAGCGAUCGGCUGGAGGAAAAAGACAAAAAAAUUUAAAAAAAAUUAAAAAAAUUAAAAUAUUAUUAAAAGUUAUCCACGUUAGUGCCUAUCAGGCCACGUCAGCCGACCGGCAUCCAGUCAGCAAAAUCCGGCCAAAAUUGGCCGGAAAGGACUGAAUUAGCACAACGUAAAAAUGUUUAGGACUAAAUCGACACCAAAAAAAGGUUUAGAAUUAAAUCGGCAUAAAGACAAAAGGUUUAGGACCUUUUUGGCACCUUUCCCCUCAUAGAUAUAAGUACGAGAGAGGGUGUGACAUGGCAGUGCAAUGACACACAUUGCGGGCUCCAUUGUUCAACAUGAUGGAUGUUGAGAAAAUGUUAGGUAUCCAAGUUGUGUCAACUCAGCAAAAUACUCAUCCAAUGAGAACGUACCACGUGUUGUGUCUGGCCCACUUUGCAUAAUUCUUCUUAUUUCCUCUCUUCUCUAUCCAUUACUUUUUCCUCCCUCUCUUUAGCACUUGCUUUUUCCUCAUCUUCUCUAUUUAGCACUUGUUUUUCUUAUUUUCUCUUGCUUGAGCCCUAAGCCCAAGGCUCAUGGCUACUUUGGCCAUGGAGCUUGACCUCAAACCCGAAACUUGGGAUAGCCUUGAUCGCUCGAGUUUGAGCUCAACCUCAAGCUCGUGGCAAUUGCCACUUGAGCUUCAACCUUGUGGCCAUGGUUGCCCGAGCUUUGAACUCUCGUCCAUGGCCAAUAGGUUGAGACACUCAAGGACAUGAAUCUUCAAUAUCGAGUUUCCAGCUUCCAUGGUCACAGAAUUUGAGCUUGGUCCUAAAGUUGCUAGCUUGAACUUGAGCUAGCGGUAACCAUGGCGGCUUGAGCACAAGGUUGCGAUCAUGUUUGCCAUAUCUUGAGCUUACGGCCAUGGCCACCUGAGCCUUGGCAUCUUGUCGCCAUGGUGCCACUUGAGCUCAAGCUCACAAAAGCCAUGGUUUUUGGAGCUUUAGGCAUGUAGCUAUGGAUGCUCCAUGGGAAAAAACAAUGGAGAAGAUGAGGAAAAAAACAAGUGAUAAACAAAAAGAGAGGAGAGGAAAGGGAGGAAACCAUAAUGGAUAUAGGAGAGAGAACAAAUGAAGAUUUAUGAAGGUGGGCCCAAUACGACACAUGUUGCCCAAUGAAUGAACUGGUAUUUUGCUAAGCUGUCACAACUUGGAUACCCAAUAUUUUCUCGAUGGAUGUUGGGACACGUCAUGGAAAACCUCACAAAAAGUGUGCACAACGGAAAAUUCUAGCCCAACAAGCAGCUUGCUCGAAGUGGACUUAUUCAUCUUUGUGCUAAUGGCUCCUUAGAGGGUAGAAAAAAUUUGAAGAGCAAAACGUAACAAGACUCUCCACCCUACUCUUCCAAGAAAAGAGGGUUUGUGUUUGGGAAGGAAUUAAGGAGUAUUGUUAGUUUUCAAUAUAUUACAUAUUUUUAAUAAAUUUUUUAAAAAAAUAAAAGAAAAUAAUCGGUCCAAUUUGAGUGGUUUGGAUGGGUGGCUCCACCCUUGGAAUUAGACCAAAAUUCAUCAGUUCCAAUUAUGGAAACCGGUCACCUGAGAAACCGCCUAGUAUCGGUUGGCUCAAUUAGGUUAGGACAGUCCAUUUUGAUCAUCCUGAUCAUUUAUUAUAGGGAUAUAUUUACUAGAAGUACUAAAAGUUGUUAUGAAAGUGCAAUUGAGUCAUAAAACUUAUAAAAAGUGUAAUCAAAUCCUAAAAUUUAUCAAAUUGGUAUAAUCAAGUCAUUUUAUUAAUUCCAUCCAUUUAGACUAAUGGAAAUGCUAACAUGGUUUUUUUAACAUUUUUUCUUUCCUACAUAGCAAUGACAUGGCGAAAACAUGAAGCACAAUGUUAAAAUAACGUCAUUUUGAAUUAAAUUCUAAUUUUUAAACAAUAUAUUAAUUAAAUAAAAUUAAAAAAUUAAAAAGAAUACAUAAACAAAAGGAGCAGGGCAAGGGCCCUUGCCCCCCGUCGCUGAAAAGGGUCAGUAGGGGCUUGGCAUUGUGCUUUAGCAUUUUUUUGGUCCUUUUUUGUGUUUCUUUAAACAAAUUUUUGUUUGAUUUAAUUAAUAUUUUUGUUAAAUAAAUUACAAUUUAACCCACAUCAUCGUCACGCUAGGAGAAAAAAUAUUUAAAAAACCAUGUCAGCAUUUUUCAUUAGUCUAAAUGGAUGGAAAUAACGGAAGAACUCGAUUGUAUUAAUUUGACACUUUUUUGCAAGUUAUUGAGUAAUGAUGAGCAUGGUUUUAGGGCAGAACCUGAAACCUGAGAAUUGGACCGAUAAUAACUUAUCCGUUUUUAAGUUCUAAAUUAUGCAUGAUAAGUUUCAGUUUUUGCAAAUUGAGGAACCUAUUUCGAUUAAUAAAUUCCAGGUUCUAGGUUUAUGGAACUUUGAACCUAUAACCUAGAACCUGAAAUAAGUUUAUGUAUUUUUUUUAUCUAUGUUUUCGUGCAAUCCAACGAUAUUCCAUGGUGUUCGAUGACGACUAUAUAAUUCGAGCUUUCAUUUUUUAAUUAAAACUUUUACUUCACGUGUAUAAAAAUAAGUUAUGAUCAGUAAAUUAUAACAGUAAGUGAUGUUUUUUAAAGAUGAUAAUUUUUUGCAAUCAUUUAAUUAAUAAUAAAGAUGGAACCUAAGUGGACCAUGUCCAUCACUAUUGAAGUGUCGAACAAGCUUUUUUUAAUCUGGCUUGGAAAUUGAUUCUGGAACGCAUGGUUCAAUCAUGAAUAGGGUCUGGAAUAUAGAAGGACUUUAUUCCUUUUCCUUGCUAAAUUUGAUGGAAACAGUUCCAUCUUUUUUUCGGACGAACUCAGAGUCCGUAGAUUGGAAAGGCCAAAGGAUAAGGUGUACCAAAGGUACUUAAACGAAGAUCCCUCCAUUGAUACUCUUGGUGAAUGUGAUAAAUACCAGUUUAUGGUUUCUUAUGCACCACCUCCACCACCAGAGUUUAGCACUACACCCCAAGUUUCACCAGAUCCAUCGAAAUCACCUCCAUCAUCACCUUCUCAGAAAAAAUAAGCUCUCUCCCCAUUCUAUAAGCCAAUUUUAAAGUGGGCCAAGAAGCACUUUUACCCACUUGAAGCUCCAGCAGAAAUAACACCCACUUCCUCCAUUGCCAUGUUUCAUGACACUGACUUUCUCCCUCUUGUCAAAGAAAGUUCUAAACUCUCGUUUCCUGCUACAAAGGAAUUCAUUGAUCCACAAGGCAGAUAUCGCCAUGUUCAUAAGAUAGCUAUGCCUACUGAUGUGGAUGAGCAUGGGAGACAAAGAAAGACUCUUGCUGCUGAAGCCGUUCUAAAUUGGCAAUCGGAGAUUCUGUUAGCACAAAACAAUGCUUUCAAAGCAAUUGAUUCCAAGAUUGGAAAUGUGCAACAAGAUCUUCGAAAGUAUGAUGAGACCACCAAGAAAAUGGUUUCUGAGUUCCAGAAGAGGCUAAAUGCCUUGGAAUCAAGACAACGUCUAGGGUAUCAUCAUCUGGAAAGCCCAAAACCGGAAAUAGAAAAACUCAAAAGACAAAUCCAACUCCUUGAAGAAGGAAGGUUCAGACAUUUUGAUCCAUUUGCAACUCCUGUAAGAAUUGGGUAUUUGCCUCUACCACCCCAGACGUCUAUCUUUGCUGCCAUUUCAGAAGAUUCUUUCAGGAAAGAACCAUAUAUGGCAUAGGUAUGGAAUCGUCUUAAGAAUCUACAAAAGGACAAAGGAAAGGAGAAAAUGCCCACAGAAUCAAGUUCGAUCGUCAUAAAGGAAAGACCAGAUCAGAUGAUGUUAUCCAAUCCAUUAGAAUCUUUUCUAAAGGAUUUGGGUACUCAGGAGCAACCUGUUCCUGUUAUCCAAUAGCCAUAUCCUACCCUUCCAAAUGAUCAAACUAUAUUUCUAACUAAACAAACUGUUCCUACCACUUCUAAAACUGAAUCAGAUUCAGUAUCAUUUUCAUCCUCUUCAUCCUUCUCAAUUCCUGAUAAUUCCCUUCCUAUUGCACCAGUGACUUCAUCUAUAUUCAUGGCUGAUACUCCAGAUUAGGAAAUGGAAUCAAAUUACUCCGACCCAGAGGUUGUUCAGAACAAUCCGGGACACCACGUGUCCAUGGCAUCAAAGCAGUUUUUCACCAUCGAUGAUAUCCCCUAUCAUAAAUGGCCAGAAAGACUUGAAGAAUUUCAUACUUGGUUGAAUACUCAGUCCAUCACCAACCAUGAUAUGAAUGAUGUCAUUUACAACUUUGUCACGAGGUUCAUAGGAAGCUUUAAACUUUGGUGGAAAUCAGUAUCAGAACAAGACCAAAUUCAUUUUCUGAUGUCACCAGAUUUUAGCCAUGCCAUUACUUUUUUAUAUCAUUUCUUUGUGGGAAAACCCACUGACCUCAUAGAAAUGAAAAGAAUAGAAUUUUUUGAAAGAAAAUGUUGCUCCCUCCAGAAGAAAUAUCUUGAUAAGCAUUAUCGGGAAAUGCUUCAGCUUUUUUAUCAGAUUGGAGCUGAUCCAAAUCUAAAGCAUGUUUUCCUGACUUCCAUCCCUUAAGAAUUAUCCUAGAUGGUUGAAAGACCCUUUUUUGGAAGACAAAGGAGAGUAUAGGAUAUUCCUUUGGGGGAAAUACAACAAGAAAUCCAUCUAUGCCUUGAAGAAUUGUGCCUAAAGCGCCAGAUGGUCUGCACCUACAUCACAGGCGAUAGAGAACUCAAAAUAGCUUGCUCCCGCCAAAAGCUAAAAAUCAAAUGUUCCAAGAAAGACUGUGAUGAUACUUGUGGAAAAGCUUCCCGAAAAAAGAAGCACUUCAAGAAGUAUUGGAUGAAGAAAUCAUCCAAACAUGGCCACAAGCACUUCCGAAGAAAGAAGAAAUGGUGCUACCAACGCAAAAGGAAGGAUCGCACGGGCCAUAAAAAGUCAAAUCGUUACUACAUCUGCAAUCAGAAAUGAUAUUUUGCCAAAAACUGUCCCCAAGCCAGAAAAUGUCAGCAUCAUUUGAUACAUCAAAUUGAGAAUGAAACAGGUAUUUCUCUUGAAAAUGAUGAUAUCGAAUCAUUGUUCUUUGCUUGAACAAACUCUUUGUGUCAUUCCAUGUUAUCACACUUCCAGUGAAACUGAGUCAGAUUCAGAAUCUGAAGAUAUUUUUCACAUAUCACCCACAUCUGCAAAACCAAGUCUUGACAUAUUCUCAAGUCAAACUCACCAUCCCCAUUUCCCUGUAAAAAUCAUCACCUCAAAGUUUGCUAAACCUAUCACUGUUAUUGCCCUCAUUGAUACCGGGGCAAGCUGUUCGAUUCUGGAUACCAAAGUGCUUCUUGAAGAAUAUUGGACUCCUUAUGUCCGAUAUUUCAACUCUACCUCAGGAAACACUUUCUCCACAAAUGUGAGAACCAUCCUUGUAACUGCCCAGUUAUUUCCUCAGUGUUCUAUAACCACAAAAAUCUUUGGAUCUAGUCUUCCCAACAAAGACUUAAUCAUUGGUUGGGACAUCAUGACUCAAAUCUCUCAAUUUCGUAUCAUCUCAGGAAAAUGUCUUAGAUAUAAAGACCAAUUCUCUGAGUUUGUCAAUAUUCAAAGAUUCUUUUCCAUUCAGAUGAGUCUAUUAGAUCCAAUCAUGCAAAAAUUGUUAGAAUCUUGUUCAGAAUCUCAUUCGGAAUUCACUCAAAAGUGUUCCCAUCCUUUGUGGGAAAAUCUAGAAUUCUUUGUUCGCCUUCCUUUCAAGAAAAAUAAAGAUAUAAAUCCAACUAAGGCGAGUCAUAUGGGAAUGAAGCUAGAAUACUUGGCUUUAGCUCAAAGGGAAUGCUCAGAACUAUUGCAACAAGGCCUUAUUGAAGUCUCCAAUUCUCAAUAGGCUUGCAAAGCCUUUUAUAUCAAUAAACGUGCUGAGCAAAACAGAGGAAAAAUGAGAUUGGUAAUCAACUAUCAACCUCUCAACCUUUUUCUCAAAGAUAAUAAAUUCCCUUUACCUUCUAGAAAUUCCCUCUUUACUAGCCUAACUAAGGCCCACAUCUAUUCCAAAUUCGACCUCAAAGCCGAAUUUUGGCAAUUGGGCAUCCAUCCUGAAGAUAGAUCCAAAAUAGGAUUCUGUAUUCUGAACCAGCACUUCCAGUGGAAAGUUCUUCAUUUUAGCCUAAAGGUAGCACCAUCCCUUUUCCAAAAGGCCAUGUGUCGUAUCUUCCAACCAAUUCUCUCAAGUGCUGCAGUAUAUAUCGAUGACAUCCUGCUCUACAGUCAUAAUGAGCAGUUAUACUGUCAACUCCUUGAGCAAUUUGCAGAAAUCGUAAAGAAGCAUGGCAUCAUGCUUUCUCAAAGAAAAAUGAACAUUACCCAAACAGAGAUUGAAUUUCUUGGUAUGUACCUCAACUAAGAUACGUACUACCCAGGGCCACAUAUUGCUCAAGAAUUAUUGAAGUUUCAUGAAGAUAAUUUCACCACAAAACAAGUUCAACAAUUUCUUGGGAUCAUCAAUUAUCUUAGAGAUUUUGUCCUAAAUAUUGCAAAGCUUCUGAUUCCUUUGCAAUCUAUGCUGAAGAAGAAUCCCCCACUUUGGGGAAAAAUUCAAACUAAAAUAGUCGAUGAGCUUAAGGAGAUAAUGCAGAAUCUCCCACCAUUACAGAUACCAUCAAUAGGGAAGAGACUUCUUCAAACUGACGCUAAUGAUGAAUACUAGGCAGCCAUCCUGUUUGAAGAAAUUGAUGGUAAGAGACACAUUUGUAAUCACAAAAGUGGAAAGUUUUCUCAAGCUGAAAUGUAUUACCAUUCCACUUUCAAAGAAAUCUUAACAGUAAAAAAUAGAAUCAAGAAGUUUGAAUUACAUCUCAUCGGCCAUCACUUCCUAGUAGAAUUAAACAUAGCAUCUUUUCCUUAGAUAACCAAGUUUAAACAAAAACAAAUUGGUUAAAAUCUGUAACAGGAUAAGUUCCAAAUUCUAAGUUAUGUAGGAUAUGUUCCAGGUUUCAGAAAAUAAAGAACCUAAUCUAACAGGUGGGUUCCAAAUUCUAAAUGAAACCUGUAUAGAACUUGGAGCUGCUCACCUCUAAAUGCACUUUUGUGACAAGUUUUAAGAUUUUCAGUAAACAUAUCUCUUUAUUAUAUGUUGCUUAUGGACAGCUUGGACCGUAAUUUUGGCCCAACCCGACCACCUAUACGUCAUCGCUAAAUCAGGGGCACAUCCAACACAAGAAAAGUUGGUAACAACUACAAGACUAGAGCAACCCAAAGAAGACGAUCAUCGCAAAACUAACUUCUGCUCAUCGACGAUGGCAAAAACUCUCAUUGAGCUCAAGCAAGUCCUUAGGACCAAAAAGGUAACUGUUGAGGGCCUCGCCCUUCUCUUUCUAUGAUGCAUGUUUUCACUCAAUCGUGUCCGAUUUCGUAGAUUGAACUUGGGUUGAGCUUCAUUUAGCUACCUGAAUGUUCAAACCUAAAUACAUGUCGAGCCUUGCCCUAGCUAGAUCUAGACAAGGGUCGCCUCAUUGACAACUAGUGAGGACUUGGGCGAGACCAAUGACCGUCGAGGGCUUGUAGGUCGUCACCCCUGACUCGAUUUUGUGUAAAAGUUAAGUCUGUCUGCUGAUUUCGUCCAACUUGACUAUUGAAAAAUAUUGAUGUGACCUUUUUUUUUAAUAUUUUAUCUCUCGUGUGGUGUCUUAUAUCGCAUUAAGGCUGACAAAAGCACUAAAAUCACCUCAUUUUGAUCGGAAUCCCUAUUUUUACACAAUCUUGAUUAAGUUAGCCUAAAAUUUAUGUAAAAAUUAAUCAAAAAAGAAAAAGAAAAAAAGGCUAAAACUUUAUAAAUAAAUAAAAAGCAUACACACAAAAAGAAAACAGCCAAGCCCUCCACAUGUGGCUGUCGCCCCAUUGCUAGUGGGGCAUCGAUGAUAGCCAGCAUUGCCAACGCCUCAACAAGGACAGGUGACCCUCGCCAACUAAAAGCAAGGGCAUAUUAGUAAGGGUCACCAGUGACCCUACUAGCCAUUGCUAAUGCCCCAUCAACGAUGGCCAGGCGGCCACAUGCAGUAGGGCUAGCUUUUAUUUUAUUUUUUAAAUUUUAAAAAACUCUUAGCUUCCUUAAUAUUUAAUCUAAUUUAACUAAAAUUUAGGUUCAAAUUAUCUUUGGACGAAAAUGCCCUUAACCGGCUAGAUUAUUUAGGCCAUGUUUGGUAACUAACCAAAUAAUAUUUAAUCCGAUUCUUUUGUUCUCCAAAAUAAAGAAAAAAAUAACAUAAAUCCAUUUGACAAUUUUUUUAUUUUCGGGAACAUUUGUUCUUGAGAAUAGAUUUGAAUAGAAUUAAGAAGUUAAAAAAAAAAAAAAUUGUUCUUGGUAAUAACUUCUAAAUCAAGCCCAUUUUCCUUCUUUUUUUUCUCUUUUAUCUUUUUUCCUUUUUUUUUUCUUGUUCCUUUCGCCUGUUGCUGUCGACCUUGGUGAUGGCCGAUGACUAGCCAAACAAGGCAUUCUCAUGCUAUGGUUAAAUGCACGUGGAGUUCGGUCGGAUGCACAUGCUAUGGAAUAAAAAGCACUUUAUUCCGUUUCUAAUUAUUUUUAUCUAGGGACAAGAACGGAUUCGGCAUGUCUCGCGUGGAAGUACCGCUGCGGGGUUAUAGCCUACAGGGAAAUCGCAUGUUAGUGAUGGUGCGAAAUGGUUAUGGUAAUAAAGAUUUCAAUCAUUUCUUGACAUUGUUCUCCUUAGUGGGACUAAUGAUUUUGAUUGAAGGAGGCUUAGGUAAAAUGAUAAUGUCUGUUUAAAAUGAUUGAAUGAAUAUAAAAUUGUCGGUCGAAAGCCGAUGAUUCUAUAUGAGAUGGGUGUGUAUUGUGUUUUUGGUGACUUCAAGUGAAUGUUAAACGUGACAUAUCCAUGAGCAUAUCUUUGUCCACCCAAAUCCAAAUGUUUGAAUAGAAUUUACCGAGUUCAUAUAAUAGUCGAUAUUACGAAUAAGAGCAUGAUAAAAAAAAUACUUAGUUGGAAAUUUAUAUGCAUUGAGAAAGCAUCGUUUUGCAUCAAUUGUUACAUGAAUUUCAAUGAAAAAAGAGGAAAUAAAAUUGUCUGUCGAAAGUGAAUAAUUCUAUGUGAGAUGCGUGUGAUUUGUGCUUUGCGACUUCAAGUGAGUGUUAAAUGCGCCGUAUUCAUGUGCAUGUUUUUCUCCACACAAAUUCAAUUGUUCGAAUAGAAAAUGCUGGGUUUAUCUAAUAUUCAAUAUUUACGAAUGAGAACAUGAUAACAAAUACUUAUUUGAAAUUUAUAUGGAUUGAGAAAGCAUCAUUUUGCAUCAUUGUUACAUGAAUUUCACUGAAAAAAAGGAAAUAAAAGAAUAACGAGCGAUUUGAAUAAAAACCUCUCGAAUUUGAUGUGGCACACAGAAGUCACUAAAUAAAAUUCUUUCACCAUAAUGGAAUUAAAACGUGAAGUCCAUGUGAUCGAACUUUCUCAAUAAAUCAAAAUUACUUUUGUGGUUGAUAGGUAUUGAGGCACUUUUAUAGAUCUUCCCCGUCCUUCGACAAUCAAUGAUCAGUGAACCAUAAUCUAGAUCGUCUGUUAAAAAAUCUUUGAAAUGUUUUUGAAGCGUGACAUUUUGGACACAAGACAAAACAAAAUUCUCUAGAUUACGACAUUGUCAAGUCAAUCGAUCAAGUCCCUUGAGGGAUUUUGGAAAAUCCAUCAAGUAUAUUGAAGUCAUGCCUUUGAUGUGGCACAAAAUUUACAUGUUGUUUUGAUGGAUGGAGUGACAAAUUAGCAAAGUAGGAAGCAAUCACUAGUCACUAUCCCUUUAUUAGGGUGAUCUGUUUCCGAACGGUCCAGUUCCAGCCUAAGAACCAAAAAUCAGACGUGGUUGUAGAACCAAACCAAUUUAUCCGAUUUGAUAUCCUGAUGGGUAAAUGGAACUAGUGGCCCUAGUCCAAUUUACUAGUAAAUCCCAGGUUUGCUAAUACAAAGAUCUCCACCUGACAAGCAACACUUCUUAUAUACAAAUUUACACCUCAGUGUGCAAAUUAUCUCUGGACUAGGCAUUAUAUCCGAGGCUUAAAUAGAUAUAAGUACAAGAGAGGGUAUGACAUGAUGGUGUAAUGAUACAUGUGGCGGGCUAUACUAGACAACAUGAUGGAUGGAAAAUAUUCGGUAUCCAAGUUGCACCAACUCAGCAAAAUACUAGUUCAUUUAGAAACGUCAAGCCCCCCUUGCAUAAAUCUUCCUCUUCCCUCUGUCCAUUACCUUUUUCCUCCCCCUCAUUUCUCUCUCUUUAGCACUUGCUUUUUCCUCAUCUUCUCUAUCCCUCAUGUUCUCUGUUUAGCACUUGCUUUUCUUCUUUCCUCCUCCGUCCACCAUGGCUAGAGCUCAAGCCUGAGCCUGAGGCUCAUGGCUACUUUGGCCAUGGAGUUCGGCCUCGAACCUAGAGCUUGAGGUAGCCUUGGUCACUAGUUUUGAGCUCGGCUUCAAGCUUGUGGCAACUACCACUUGAGCUUCGACCUCGUGGCCAUGGUUGUCCAAGCUUUGAACUCUAUCCACGGUCGCUUGAUUGAGACACUCGAGGACAUGGAUGUUCAAUAUGGAGUUUCCAGCUUCCAUUGUCACAAAGUUCGAGCUAAAGCCUAAAGUUGCUAACUUGAACUCGAGCUAGAAGUAAACAUGGCGGCUUGAGCACGAGAUCGCAACCAUGGUUGCCAUAUCUUGUACUUACAAUCAUUACCACUUGAGCUUUGACAUCUUCACCAUGGUGUCACUUGAGCUCAAGCUCGCAGAAGUCCUGACCGUUAGAGCUUCGGGCGUGUGGCUAUGGAUGCUCCAUGGGAAAAAGCAACGAGAAAGAUGAGGAAAAAGCAAGUGACAAACAACGAGAGAGGAGAGGAGAGGAGAGGAGAGGAGAGGGAGGAAACCAUAACAAACAAGGGAUAGAGGAAAAUUUAUGCAAGGUGGGUCCGACAUGACAUGUGUCGCCCAAUGAAUAGGCUUGUAUUUUACUUAGUUAGCACAACUUAGAUAUUCAAUAUUUUCUCAAUGGAUGCCCGGACACAUGGUGGAAAACCUUACAAAGAGAGCAUGCGAUAGAAAAUUCUAGCCAACAAGUAGCUUGCUCGAAUUUUCAAUGGACUUGUUCAUCUUUGUGCUAAUGACUCCUUAGAAGGUAGAAAAAGUUUGAAGAGCAAAUCAUAACAAGACCCAUCACCCUACUCUUCCAAGAAAAAGAGGGUUUGUGGUUUGUUUGUGAAGGAAUUAAGGACUACAUUUAAUUUUUUUUAUAUUUUACGGAUUUUUUAUAAAAUAAAAAAAAUCAAUCCCACCUAGGUGAUCUGGGUGGGCAGUUCCAUCUUUGAAAUUGAACCAAAAUCCGGUUUCAAUUUUAUGAAGCCAUGAAACCGUGACAUUUGGAACCGCCCAAAACCAGCCAGUUUGGUCUGGUCCGAACGGUUCCUUUUGCCCACCCCAAUCCUUAUAGAUAUUACUGACGGAUGGGCUUGAGCCGUAAUUUUGGCCCGACCAGAGGAUCCGGGCCGGGCCGGCCCAGCCCAUCGACCACCCGUACGUCGCCGCUGAAUCGGGGCACGUCCGACACAAGAUAAGCUGGAAAGUGGUAUCUCCUGCACCGACCGGAGCGACCCGGAGAAGACGACCGUCGCGAAACCCGAAGCGCGACUUCUGCUCGCCGGCGAUGGCGGAAGCUCUCAUCGAGCUCGAGCAAGUCCUCAGGACCAAAAAGGUAACCGCCGACGGCCUCGCCCUUCUCCCUCUCCGGUGCAUGUUUUCGCUCGAUCGUGUCCGAUUCCGCAGAUUGAGCUUGGAUUGAACCUUCAUUUUCGCUUCCCGAACGUUCGAACCUCAGUACAAUGUCGGGCGGCGAGUUCGUUGGGUUUUUUGUGAUCGCGUGUGAAAGACCCGAUUUUGAGCGGUGCGUUAGGACUGAUGAUUGCGCAAUCGCGUUGGGUCGGUUUUGAAAUUCCCCAAUUUUUUCUGCUCAGGUGACGAUGACUCUCGAGGAGGCCAAUCUUCUGUCGGCGUGCAAGUCGAAAGCUUUGGACAAUUUCGGGUACGGCAUCGGGCUCACCUCCGUCAUCGUAUGGGCAGGUUCGCAUUUCGCCUCAGCUUAUGAUUCUUUGUGGGCAUCUCUAGGCAGAAGAUGCGGAUUAGGUGAAUUCGUAUGGGUGAUUUUAGGAGGGCUCGGUCUAUUGGGGAUCGACCGUUUUUGAAGUCGCGACGAUUUGGGCUCGUUUACUAUCUCUUCCUUCACAUCUUAUCCAAUUGCAUGAGAGAGAGGGAAGGGUUGGGGGGAAAUACUAAGGAUUUGUGGAAAUUGAGCAUCUGAUUGCUUAGAGGGCUUUGUCACUAUGUUGAUUGCAUCCUUGGAUUUCAAGUAAAAAUCAACUGGAAUGUAUCUUUGAAAUACAGAAUGCAGGUGCUUAUGGUCGAUGCAAGGCUGGCUACACAGAGUAAGAGUGUGUCAGAUUUGGAUAGAUACAUCGGAUGAUUAUCAAUGCCACUGUACACUAGACUGAGCAGCAUGUCUAUUUUAGAGCAACGUUUUCAGUCAUUUUUGCUCCUUCAGGUCUUUGAUCAUUGUACGGUAUAUCAGAUUGAAGACUACUAUAUGAGAUAUACACAGAUUUAGAAUUUUGGUUUUACGUUAACACAGGAAUUUCACAUUGCUGAUAUGCCAAGAUCCUAUUUAGAGAGAUUUUACUUUGUUGUAUUGAAAUGCCUUCUAAUUAUGCUUGUGCUGCUUGAAUAUAAGUCGAUGCAAUUUGGUGUCUAGUUAAUUUCAGCACAUAUAUGCUGCCAUUUUAGUGUCUUACACUUGGCCUUGGUUAUCCGAAAUACUAUCUGUUAUAUGUUAUAACUCCUACUGACCAGCAUCACUAGUCACUACCCCGAGUUGAGUACUAUAAAGAAAGAAAAGAUUCUCCAAAAUUAGGAAUGACAAUUAUGUUCUUUAAGCCACUAACCCGAUUAACUCUAAGUAGAUUAUAAACAAAAAGGUUUUUCAGGAAAGAAUUUCACUCACCUUUUUUUUUGGCCCAACUCGCAUUGUCAUCGAGCAUUUCUAACUGAGUUACACUGAGUUUUUACAAUUUCUAGGAUUCUUCAAUGAGUAUUGAUGAUUCAGAAUUUAGAUUGUAGUUUCCCAAUUGUUUUACUUUAGGAAAGUAGAUUCAUGUUAAGUGGCAGAUCUAGGAAGAAAGUUUGGCAAUAACUGGUGUGACUCUAUUUUUAGAUGUUGACCUGUUAGAGAAUCAAUAGAAAACAAAACUCUGCCAAUGUUAGCAAAAUGACAUCAGAUUUAAUAUUAAUUCGUCGUUAAGAAUUUAAAUGAUAAGCAUUGUUAAAAUAAAUGAGGUAUGUGUCUUGUGAAUGGCAAAGCCUAAGAUAACUUAUUACUUUGGUUAAUAUCUACUGUGAUAUACAAGAAAAAGCAUAUGAGAGCGAGACUAAGUUGCACAUGACCUUUCAAGUCCCAAAAUCCCCAUUCAUAGCCCUGAAAAGAUUUCUAUAUGGGCUCUCUCUUUGCUUAUAGAAAAAUAUCCACUUAUCAUGUCAAAUGGGCUUUCUUGAGUGAUUUCAUGUUUCCUUUGCUAAGAGGGCAGUUUAGGAUUCUGGAGGGCCUCGACCCCUGCUCUUCUCCUCUUUUCUUUCUAUGGUAGUCUCUUGAUGGUCAGCACAUUUCUGCAGCUACAGGGAGGUUAAAUCAUUUGCUACGGGUUAGCCUGUCAGUAGGUAAAGGGACUUUUCCUGUUGAUUGUGGUCAUUUAGUUGAUAGCUCUAUUUGACACUAAAUGUCUCUUCAUUUUCUGUGUAGGAUCCGGUUUUGCCUGUGGUUUGUGGAGAUUGUCUAAGUCAUUAGAUUCUUGUGCUGACCAUAUUCUUGCACUACAUGGCAGUCGGAUGCAAGAGGAAUUAGCAAAUAUGUAAUUCCGCUCUGAAGAUUUUUAUGAAUGCCCAUGCUGGGUUCUUCCGGUGUCUGCUCUACACUUAAGCUUUUUUUUAAUGUCACUAAAGACAAUGUCAGGACCUGUGAUUUCUGUUCUAAGCGAGUAUUGGAACCUGGCUGAGUGAGAUUAUUAGAAGUAACUAGAGUCAUGUUGCUGGUUUUUCUCCCAAUUUAUUAAAAAUAGAGUACUUGCACAUGCUACAUAAUCAAGACGUAAUGGUUUCUACAGUUGGGAGUGUAAGUAUUUUUUGUGAAAUUUGGUUAAGAGCAUUGGUCUAGCUUGUAUUGGGAUGUUCAAAUUGUUUCUGAUUAACCUCUAAAAUAUAAAUAAUAAGCCUUCCUUUUUUUCUGUUUAUAAAGUUUGAAAUUUUUUUGGUAUCACCAUGGUGUAAUUUUUUACAUUUUAGUUGUGCUCUAAAGUAAAACUCAUGAGAAAUGGUAUCUUCAUUCUUGGACGACAAGAAAAGGCAUGCAAAGCUUUAUUGUCAUAUUUCUAGACAUUUGCAGUGUGGGGUCUUCAACAAUAUCUAUCUUUCCCUUUCUCUGCUGCCAUAGUAAUGCUAUGUGGAUUCCUUGUCAGUCAUUGAUUGUCAAGAUGAACUGCUCUGGACUCACUAAGAAGUUUACCAUAGUUGUGUAUUUUGUAAAAAUCAUGAAUGGUUUCUUUGUUAUGAUGUUUGGCCAUUAGGUGAUAUCCUUAAAAGCACACCAACCAAAGAUUGAUUUUUGUCUUAAUCCUGAAGUCUUCAUUUGUCACCUUGUUUGUUCUUCACGCAUCUUAAUUAAAGUUUUAAACGUGCAUGCACUGCCUUAGUGCACGUGCUCAUUCACAUGGGGCCUCCACAUACAUGCACAUGCAAAGGAUUUGAAAAUGCGAACUCACAAAGAUGUAAUACGCACCUGCUUAUGUGUUGACGCAGGAACACACUAGUGCGAUCUUGAUAUUAAGACACUUGGUUAAUUUCAUCUUUGGUCAUUCAUGGCAUUUUAAAGUUGGAACUUCUACAUGAGCACGAGAAUUUGAGGAAUCACUAGAAGUAUUGGUGUGGGCAAAACAUAGAUGAAUUACAGAAAGAGUUGUUCAUUUGCGCUUUCAAAUUCAAGGUGCAUGUUUUUUAUCCCCACAAUCCCACCUAUUGUACCUAAUGUUGUAACUCCACAUUUGUGAUGAGAUGGAUUGGUCAUGUUUGGUCCUUUGGCUUCAUUUGAUAUACUUUAUUUCAUGUUAGUUAGACUGGCGCUUGCGUUCAUAACCAGUCUCUUAAAUUUCAUUAUUUUUUGUGCCACAGAAUAGUGAGGAGAUAUCAUCAUGAUCAAGGCAAAAUGCAGCUUCUGGCAAGGCAUUUCUAUUCUGAGCAAGUAUUUGAUGAUUCCACUUCAGAUCAACCAAGGUUGAGGUGGCGUUACCGGAAUAGUUAUAGCGAUGUUGUCGCUUAUGGCCGGUUGACCCAUGAAACUGACAUUCACAGUGGGAGGAGUCAACAGUUGCAUGACAAUGACUUCAACAGAAAUACGGGGAACAAUUCCUAUGGCAGUCCCCAGAACGACUCCAAAACCAACUUGGCUGACUUUGCAAGCGACGCUGACAUCAAUAGAGCAGACUCAGAGUUGAAACGCAAUUCUGUGAGUAAAGCGACUGACGUUUUUCUUUGGGUAUUAUUUUGCCACCUAUUUCUGAGUGUAAUUUUCGAUAGCUUAAGGCACAAUCUGUUUAUUGUUAAGAAAGAUUCCCUGAUGCACAUAAGUUUUGAUUAUUGAAAAUUUCUAUCAGUUAAGCGUGUCUAAGUUCUGCUACUAUAGUGUAGGAAAAGACCCUUGGCAAAUUAGUUUCAAUGGCAGAAAAGACAUAAUCAAAAGUAGAUUGCAGGAUUAUAGGAGUAAGACAUAAUUAAUGCGAGCCCAUGCUGCAUUACUUGCACUGGUUUAUAUAAAGAAAAUUUCCCAAGUAAUCUAAAAUUGAGUCAUUUUCUGUAUUAUAUAGUCAACUUUGGUGCUUCGAUUUAAAUGAAAUACCAUCCACCAAGGAGUCUAUGUAGCCUUUCCUGCAUACAAGAACAUGCUACCGUCAAUUGCAUGAAAUUAUCAGUUACGUGGCAAAUAUCUUGUAAUGACGACAACUAGAAUUGCUGUGGGCUGCUCUAUUGAAAAACCCCCCUUCUCGCAGUUGCAAUCAGUUAAUACAAAAUGGUGUGUUUAAGGGAAAUCUGCUGGCAGCAGCCUUGUUUUACUGACAUGAAUGUGUCAGAACAUCACCGCGGUACAUUCCUCCAUUACACUGAAUGUUUAUGUCUAUGUCAUUUAGACCUCUCUGUCCAUUACCAUUAACAUGAAGCCUGUAGCUUUUGAGCUUCUCCUAAUGUUGUAUAUCGCCAUGUGAAGAUGAUAAGUAACAGUUGCUAGUUUUGUUAACAAUCAGAAUUGCCAAUGCGUCAUGCUGUGUCUGGAGUUUGAGAUGUGAUAGCUUUAAUCUGUUCUUAAUACGACACCAUCAUCAUGUGGUCUAAAUUUUGAGAAGUUCUUUGCUUCUUCCCUAGUCCAUUUUAUUUAUGGUUAAUAGUGGUCCAACUCAUCUCAUUAUAGGUGAGCUCUGGCGUUGACGUGAUUGGCGACCCUCUUGAUUGUAUUUUUGGAGGUGUGAUGACAAAAGAGGAGAUUCGUCGUCCAGCUACCUCAAGUGGAACGAAUAAAGUUCCCCUGCAAACCCACAGAAGAUCAAGGCGUAGACGCCGGAUGCAAAAGCCGGAGGUUUCUCUUGAUACUUAGCCUGAUGCAUCUUUGUUCUUAGCCUGAUGCAUCUUUGUGCUGUUUGUAGUCUAGGAGAGAUUUAAGCCUGUAGAGGCUUUUAAGCUUUGGAAGUUUGUAGAUGAGCACAUGACCUUCGGCAUGUGGAAGGACUUAAUAAUUCGUUCAUGGGUCAAUUUUUAUUCACC